UUAAGCAUAUAAGUAAGCGGAGGAAGAGAAACUAACGAGGAUUCCCUCAGUAGCGGCGAGUGAAGCGGGAAAAGCCCAGCACCGAAUCCCCCCGGCCGCAGAGCCGUCGCGCGGGAAAUGUGGUGUAUGGGACGCCGAUGGUCGGCGGGCGCGGCGGGCCUGUCCCUCCUCUGGAGUGCCGACACCCCGAGCGGGUGAGAGGCCUCUGCGGGCCCCCGUUCCCCCCGUCGACCGCGGCGUCUCGGGAGUCGGGUUGCUUGAGAGUGCAGCCUAAAGCGGGUGGUAAACUCCAUCUAAGGCUAAAUACUGUCCGGGAGUGCGAUAGUCGACAAGUACCGCGAGGG
rnacentral:rRNA from 1 species